rnacentral:lncRNA from 1 species
UCUCUUUUCCAACAAUUUCACCAAUCAAGUAAUUAUCAACAAACAUAUUUCCAAUAUUAUUAUAAAAUAUCAUAAUACAAGUAAAAUUGAUGUAUUACUUACAUAUAAACUUACAUCUCAUUUAAUAUCAAGGCAAUAACAUUAAAUUACACAUUGCAUUAUUAAAAAUCUAUGAACUUACAAUUGCUCAUAAUAUCCAUAAUCAUAGAAAUCACAUUUAUGUAUGAUAAUUCAAUGCACUUCAUGUACCAUAGACAUUUUCAAAUCAAUUCAUAAACUUGGCACCAUAAACAUUUAAUUUAACAUAAUUAAAUUAAUUCACUAAAUUUAACUUACAAAUAUAAAUUGCCACAUUAUGGCAGUAUUAUUAUCAUACCAACUUACCUCAAAUGCUGAAACGACUAACUUUCCUGACUUAGCACAUAACUUUGUUCUUCCCCGAUCUUAAUCCAAAAUUUCAUGUUUUCUUGAUCUAACAUGUCAAAUAACACUUAUUUAACACAUUUUAUCAACACACUAACCAAUCCAAUUCAUAUAUCAAAUUUUGGAAAAUUUACAAUUAUGCCCCUUAACUUUUCAAAAAUUAUGCUUUUACCCCUAGGCUCGUAAAAUAAUUUUUAUUAAAUUUCUAUAAGGUUUAAGACAUGCUGAACAUUUUUCUCUUCUAUGGUGACUCCAAAUUUUCACUAAUUCACACACUUAUGACCAAUUUAUAACUUUUACAAUUUAACCCCUUUUUGACAUUUUUACCGAAAUUCAUCGAAUAAAACUCGUAUUUAACACAUCAAACAUUCAUUAUCUACUAUAAAUCAUCAAAACACAACCAUAUCAUGAAUGGGUAAAUUUUUAAACUCUAAUUUCUCUUCAAUCAAUUGGUAGAAAUAGAAAAUUUAAGCUUCGGGGAUAUCAAAAAUACGAAAAUCAUUAAAAAUGGGACAAAAACCGUACCUAUAUAAGCCAUAGAAGCUUAGCCGAAUGGAGCUCAUCCAUGGCUGCCAUUUUUGGUUCUUUCCC